rnacentral:rRNA from 1 species
AUGACUAAACCCAGGAAAGAAGGAGGCAUUGGAUUUUGGGACAUGAGUCUCUUUAACCUAGCCCUACUAGCUAGGCAGGCUUGGAGGAUGAUCGAACGUCCAGACAGCUUGUGUGCGCGGGUGCUAAAAUUCAAGUACUACCUAGAUGGGGAGCUGAUCGAUACGGUCUUUGCAUUUGAGGCCUUUCUUGUCUGGCAUGGAAUUGAAGAUGGACUGGAACUUCUGAAAGCCCCACUAAUUUGGAAAAUUGGCGAUGGUGGAAGAUAA